GAAACAGCAGGCCCUAGUGAACAGCCCUGCUAAGAAUCUCCCUGAACCCUCCUGUUUGUAUCUAUUUCUGAACUAUCGUAGAAAAGGUAGAAGAAAAACAUCAUCCAAUGCAAAGAAAAAAGGUCCAAAAAGAAGUCACCUGAAUACAUUCUCACACAACCCCUGAAACACAAGCCUUCACCUUUUUGUGCCCCUAGCAAGGAAAUACAGUACCUUACAUGCUCAGUUAAUGCUGAUUAAUCUGAUUUGAUUCAUUCAACUCUGAAGAGAUAACUAAGAAUUCCAGAUGAAAGAUGCU
rnacentral:lncRNA from 1 species